GAUGUUUUAUGUUGGAAUUUGACAAAGCUGUAAGUUCUCAUGCAUACCCUAUCUCUUAUUCUGUUGAUUGUCCUCUGUUUUCUAGUUGGGAACAGUGCUUGUUAAGUUUCUUGUAUUCCAUUUUUUCUACUUCUUUCUGAUUAAGCUAUUUUAGGAUUAGGGUUAGUAACCAUGUAUAGAAUGGGUUUUGGGUGGUUUUCAAUUUUUGAAAUUCAGUGCAAUCAUGUUAGUGAAAUUUUCAAUUAUAGACUCUAUUAGGGUCCCAUUGAGUUGAUGGCUAGUAAGGAAUUAGGAUAGCUAGGUGGCAUAAUUACUACUUUGGAUUCCAUAUGGAAUGGCAUUAGAAAGAUACAAUGUUAAAAAAAUGUAGAAGUUAAUUAACUUAUAUUACAUUCUCCUUCACUCUCUCAUUCUUUCCUACUUUUUGAUAUUAUCUAACUAGGAAUCAAUGCUAUGAUUUAAUUAGGAAGGAGAUGGAACCAUUUUAAAAUUGAAACGCUUGUUAAGGCUUUUGCAAUGAAAUGGGAAAAAAAAUAUAUUUGGCAAAUUUAAAAAAAAAAAAAAUUGGAAUUCAUACUUUAUUCAUUAAACAUUAUCAUUAUGCCUUUAAUAUUUAGAUAGUUGUAACCCUUUGGUUGUACUUCAAACAUUUAUUGAAGAUGCAUUGGGUCAUUUGGGUUAUUGACUUGAAAAAUAAGCUAUGGAUAUUUAUAAGGCUAGUUGAUUGGGUCAUCUUGGUAGUAUAUUAGGCUACAGUUCUCUUUUGUCAACUCAAAGGAACACUAAACAAUUUCUCCAGUUUUGAGUUGUUUUGAUGACGUCAAGGUUGCAUUGCACUUCCUUAAAUCUUGGAGGAAUGAUAAGAUGGUGAAAUGGGAAAUAGUGUUAGAUUAUGUAAAAGUUUAUGAAAAAAAUAGUAUUUUUCUUGCUUUCCAUUUUCAUUUCUGGUGUCCGCAAUAAUUCGGUGAUGCUUGUGAUUUUAUACUUGCCUUGACAGAAAGGCUUCUGUUGUAUGCUGAUCAGACAUUCAAAUAGAAACUCAUUCUUUAUUUUUCUGGUAUGCACAUUGCAACAAGUUUGAGUGGACACAGUUAUGAAUUAUGGUGUAGGUUUUAAAAAAUUAUAAGGGUAACGUGUAAUCAUUUUAAUAAUAUUCAUAGACAACUCAUUACUCUUGCCUUUUUUGCUCCAGAGUUGUGCAUGCUCAUUUCAACUGGUUUAAAGCUCAUUCUGUUUGAAAAGGCUAAUCAUUAGGAUAAUUUUUAUCUAUUUAUUUUAUUCUUCUCCCCUCUCUAUUAUUGCAACUCAGUCCAUGAGUGUUUAUAUGGUAAAAUGUUAAAAACACAAUAAGAACAUUGUAUGGGAAGACAAUUGAAUUAUUCAUCCUAUCCUUUCUAUGAUCUGAGCAGGCAUUCAUAAUUGCUUCAACUGCACCAGAAGAGGAAAUGCUUCGCUGGUACCGGGAACGUAUUUGUGUGGACUGAAAAAUCACUGA
rnacentral:misc_RNA from 1 species